UACGGAGGGUGCAAGCGUUAUCCGGAUUCACUGGGUUUAAAGGGUGCGUAGGAGGGCAGGUAAGUCAGUGGUGAAAUCCCCGAGCUUAACUUGGGAACUGCCGUUGAUACUAUCUGUCUUGAAUGUUGUGGAGGUAAGCGGAAUAUGUCAUGUAGCGGUGAAAUGCUUAGAUAUGACAUAGAACACCAAUUGCGAAGGCAGCUAACGAAACUAUAACUGACGCUGAGGCACGAAAGUGCGGGGAUCAAACAGG
rnacentral:rRNA from 1 species